rnacentral:lncRNA from 1 species
UGGCAUCUGACCAGCCGCACACACACACUCAACCCAGACAGCAAAUACUCAGCGUGCAACACUGCGGGCAGCUCCAGAACUGGCGUUAAAUAAGAAGCAUGCAGACAAUUACAAUACAGUGAGAAAGGUGCCGAUUAAGGUAUGAAUAACAGCUGUGGGAACACACAAGCAGAGUGGACAGACAGCCAGAGGAUACGCAGUCAAGAGUUUUCAAGACUCCAAGCUUCCUCGCCUUUCCAGCACCUGUAAUAAUGCCAUAUCAGAAGCAAGCAAUGCUGCUUCCAGCUUUGUCCAGAGCAGCCAAAUGGGUGGCUUUUCAGGGUCAGCCACAAACCAGCAAAGAUAAAGAAACUAAGGGGUGGUGCUGGACCUGAGAGACUGGCUCAAAGAAAGUUCCCUGCUGAGAGCCCAGCUUCCUUUCCAGCCCCAGACUUAUCCUUACAGAUAAUCACUCUCCUGUAGCUUCCCAGAUGUGCAGCCUCUCCCCUCCCCCACUGCACCUGAAGGGCAGACCAGAGACUGCAGGGGAGAAGCAAGACACCAAGGUCAUUCAGCACCUCCACGAGGACUGCACCACCCUGUUGUCCCGUCUUCCUCCAGUGGACACCAGGGAGGGAUCAGGAUCUCCCCCUGCAAGGCUGGAACAAGGAGACCCAUGGACCAAGAGCAUCACCUGCCCCAGGAAGACAACAGCCUCAGAGGAGCAGGUAACCCCGGAGAGCCAAGCUAGGGAGGGGUUGAGCAGGUGAUAUUGAGACCACCCUCACCAGGGCCCAGGAUGUCAUGCAACUUCUAGGCAGGCUAAUGCCACAGAGCCUUCUGAAACCAAUGUUUUAUUAUUAUUAUUAUUUGUUCAACUGAGUAGAAGAAGAAAGAAAAACGUAUCCGCUGUUAAGACACAUUGUAUGUUUGUUUCUGUUCCAAAUAAGGGAUUGCUUUUAUGUACAGAACAUCACAUAACAUUGUAACAAAUUUAGGAUUGUCUCUCAAUUCAGUUUUCUGCCUUUCUCAAAAGCAUUAGUUACACUCACUGAAGAUGAAGAUCACUUACAAGGAUACAUUUACAAAAUCUGGUUGAAGAUAUAUUUAAAAGUUGUUUUUCUCUGACAUUUACCUCAGCACAAUAUUUCCCUGUUAUCUGGAGCUCUUGUUCUCUCCUUGGCUAUGCAUUUGUUUGUAGGGGUGUGCAAUUUUCUGACACAGACACCUUCUUGAAUUUAAAAAUUACAGAAAAAAGUAGCUCUCUCCUUUCUAGUAAUCAUGUAUUCUGAGGUCUCAGGAUUUCAGAUGUCAUUGGCUGCCAACUUCAGGCAGCUGCUCUUUGGUCUCAGGCAGAGAGGUGCCGAGGUGUGCAGAAGGGUGCAAAGAAAGAGAGGUGCAGAGAGAGAGGUGCAGAGGAGAGAGCUACAGAGGAGAGAGGUGCAGAGAGAGAGGUGCAGAGAGAGAGGUGCAGAGGAGAGAGCUACAGAGGAGAGAGGUGCAGAGAGAGAGGUGCGGAGAGAGAGGUGCGGAGAGAGAGGUGCGGAGAGAGAGGUGCGGAGAGAGAGGUGCAUAGGAGAGAGUUACAGAGAGAGGUGUGGAGAGAGAUGUGC